AACGUAGGAGACAAACGUUAUCCGGAGUUACUGGGCGUAAAGGGCGUGUAGGUGGUUUCGUAAGUCUGGCGUGAAAUUUCUCGGCUUAACCGAGGCAGGUCGUCGGAUACUGCGGAACUUGAGGACGGUAGAGGCGUGUGGAAUUCCGGGUGUAGUGGUGAAAUGCGUAGAGAUCCGGAGGAACACCAGUGGCGAAGGCGACACGCUGGGCCGUACCUGACACUGAUGCGCGACAGCAUGGGGAGCAACCAGG
rnacentral:rRNA from 1 species